GGAGCAGAUAGUCUCCACAGUGAGCAAGUCGGGAUUCAAUCAACUCCCGUCCUCUUGGAUCUAAGCCUCUUGCCUCUGAGAAUUGGUCCGACCCGUUUGAGUGCCCGGUUCCCUGCUCGCCCGGGACCCCAGAAGCCCCGAACUCCUCCAGCCGGGUGGCGGCGCUCAGAAGAUGUGGUGCCUUUUGAUACCGUUCCUUGUUUUUCCAGGCCUCGUUCGGGCUGACGACACCCUGUACAUCUCCCCCAUCUCCAUGACCCGUCGUGAGAAUGAAACGGUGACGCUGGACUGCUUCACGUCCAGGAAUCUAGAUGACCACUUCUUCAUCUGGGGGUCGGCCAAGCCCACCGACCAACUCAUAUCUUGGAUCCUGUACUGGACCCCCGGAUCAGCGGGGUCUCUGUACUCGGUGCCCGGCACGGACCGGUUCAGCGGUUCUAAGGACUGGGCCAGCAAGCGGUUCUCUCUCACCAUUAAGGACCUGCAGCGAGAGGACUCGGCCAGGUACUACUGUGGCAGCUCCAACACCUACUUCUCCUACAGUACCGACUGGAGCGGAUGUGGAGUCACCCUGACCGUCAACUCUGGUAAGUUGAGUCCUCUACCCUAGGUUGCCG